rnacentral:tRNA from 2 species
GUCGGAGUAGCAGAAUUGGAAUAUGCGCCGGAUUCAAGUCCCGGUAUUUGUGGGUUCAAGUCCCAUCUCCGAUA